rnacentral:misc_RNA from 1 species
AGAGCUCUUUCUUUUAACCUCCCCCUUCGCUAUCUUUCUGUUCUUCCAAAAUUUCGUCUCAACCUCAGCCUCUCGGAUCACACUGCAUGUCUUCCCCUGCGUCCUCUUCUUCCUCCCCUGUCUGAGAUUGGAUCUACUGAAUAGAAGACAACCAUGUCCGAAUCUCACUCUGCUACCUGCAUGUCUUCGGUCACCUCAACACACGCCCUUGCCUUCUCCCCUGGCUCAGACCAGUCAGUCAACGACUCCCACUUGUGCCGUUUCGAUUCUCUCCAUCUGGGCAACAAAUCCCAACUACCGGUAGCCUCCCUUGCCCCUGGAAUCAAGCGAAUGGACUUCGACGUGACAAUUUGUCAGAAUUGUGGUGAUAGAGGCUUCUCCAAGGCACUGAUUUUUUGUCAUGAAUGCCAGGCUUAUGCUGUGCAUUGCUAUUGCUUAGAUGCAUUGCCACAAACUUUUGAUGAGUCUUUGGUAUGGUUUUGUGAGGAUUGUGAUCCAAAGAUCACAAAAUCAUCCUGUCGGAGACACAGUUCAAGAUAAGGCAGCAAAACGGGCAAGAAGGAAUGCGCAGGGCUGGUUGGUUUAUCCUAGAAGGCCAAAGAAGGUUCCAAAAGGAGAGCAAAGUUUUCCCGCAAAGCAAGAUUUCAGUUGGCUGAAAUUCCUGGGGAGGAAGAGGCGCACGAGCCAGAAGGUGCAAUAAAUAACUAAUUAAAAAGCGAUCAGAAUGGGAGAGCUGGGGAAAUAGCAGGAUAGUCUCUGCUAUGAAUUUUGUUAUCUUUCUUCUUUUCUUAAUUGUUGAAUCAUUCCUUAGAGAACUCAUUGUAAUCCUUCUCCAGAUUUCUGGCUCAUUAAUUAAUCACCCUGAAUUGUUCUGCGUAAAAAAAAAAAAAAAAAGAAAAAAAAAA